AGAGUUUGAUCCUGGCUCAGGACGAACGCUGGCGGCGUGCUUAACACAUGCAAGUCGAACGGAAAGGCCCUGCUUUUGUGGGGUGCUCGAGUGGCGAACGGGUGAGUAACACGUGAGUAACCUGCCCUUGACUUUGGGAUAACUUCAGGAAACUGGGGCUAAUACCGGAUAGGAGCUCCUGCUGCAUGGUGGGGGUUGGAAAGUUUCGGCGGUUGGGGAUGGACUCGCGGCUUAUCAGCUUGUUGGUGGGGUAGUGGCUUACCAAGGCUUUGACGGGUAGCCGGCCUGAGAGGGUGACCGGCCACAUUGGGACUGAGAUACGGCCCAGACUCCUACGGGAGGCAGCAGUGGGGAAUAUUGCACAAUGGGCGGAAGCCUGAUGCAGCAACGCCGCGUGCGGGAUGACGGCCUUCGGGUUGUAAACCGCUUUCGCCUGUGACGAAGCGUGAGUGACGGUAAUGGUAACGA
rnacentral:rRNA from 1 species